GGGCCAAAGACUGGUGUUUUGACAUUCCAUCCCAUUAAAAGGAAGAAGAAGGAAAAGGAACGAAGAGAAAACUCCAAUCUGCCUGCAUGGAGUGUGCUUCCUCUUGUUUAGAUGCCGUGUUUACGUUGAGAUGCCCACAGCUGGGAUGUGGUCCCAGCCUACAGACACAAUCCUGGCUUCUUGCAUCAGCCCCCCCACGAUCCCCAGCCUCCAGGGACAUUGCUAAGGAAGCCUGCUCCCAAACAAGGACCCGCAAGCGGGUUCAUGGAGCGCAGGACUAGGAUUCAAGUGCAAGUGACUUCUUUGGAGAUGAUCCCGGCGCACACCAGGAGGGGAAUGAGGAAUUGAGACGAGGCAGAAGGACGAUCAAUGAACGAUGUGUCAUCAAGCUAGCGGGCAGUUGGGGAACUCCAGAAGCCACUGCAGAACGAGCACCACGGAGUUAUGCCACCGAGGAAGAGGAAGCAGGCAUUUCAUUGUCUCACAUCAUGGCAAGACACAGAAAGGUGAGUGCAGUGAAAGAGGAUAUUUUGAGAUAGAGAGAGAGACCACAUUCCCAUCACUUUUAUGACGGUAAAUUGUUAGAAUUAUCCUACCUUAUAAUUAGUUAUUGUUGUGAAUCCCUUACUGUGCCUAAUUUGUGAAUCACACUCUGUCAUAGAUAUAUACGUACAGGAAGAAAACACAGGAUAUUUGCAGUCUGGUACUAUCUUUGGUUUCAGGCAUCCAUUGAGGGGCCUGGAACGUACCCCCCACACGUAAGUGGGGACUCCUGUGCCUACAACGACAAAGCUGUAUGCUGAGCUCGCGCAUCUGUGUUCCAUAGUGCCCGCCUGGACACGAAUACUUAUCAUCCAUUCAGCCCUCUCGGUGGAUGUAAUGCUAAGCACACCGCGAGGUCAGCCCCCUCAGUCUUUACGACAACGCCACGGGUAGGUACCGUUAUCUACACCUCACACAUGAGGAAGGGGAGGCACUGGGGUGUUGAGCAACUCGCUGAAAUGAUAGCAUCAGGGUAUUCAAACUUACAGCCUGGCACCAGAGACCUUCCCUUGGGGUGCUGCGCUGGACUGCCCCUCACAACUUUCCAGUUCGAAUCUGGAAGCUCUGGAGACCACGGCUCCCCCAACUAUCACCACCAUUUAUUGACCCCAUCACCUGCGUCCCAUCCUCCAGUUCACAGUCUUACUUUCGUUCCGUUGUGUCGACUUCCUCGUCGGGGCUGAGUGGUAUGCAUUGUUCGCCCCAUCCUAGAGCUCAGGAGAGUGAGGUUCAGAGAAGUGAACUUGCACAGCUGGUGGGUGAAGAGUCAGGGUUCAGACAGAGGCACGUGCACACCAGACCCCCAAGCCAUGGCUCCAAGACGCGUUUUUCACCCGGCGCCACCGCAGCAGGAAGCAAGCAAGGAAGGAAGGACAUCCAAGAGUCCAUAGCACCCCCUGACUUGCCUCAGAGCAGGCAGAGGGGUCAAGGGCCAGGCAAGAAAGGAAGGUCAUUAAGGAAAUCACGGACCCUCCCCCCACCUCACCCCCCUAUCACGGAUGUGGCAUAAUGAGGCGAGGUGGUUGCUAUUUCCUAACCAACUUUGAUAAUAUCCAAAGUGCUUUACAAUCUACUUCCCUUUUACCUGGCACACUGGCCGGACUACCUUGAUGCAGUGGAGCCUGCCAGGUGGUCAGAAGCCACCCCUCCAAUACUUUUUUUGAAAACCCUUCCAUCAGCCCCCCGAGAUUAACAACACAGCCCCAUGGUGUCCCACAAGUUGGACUUUGGGGGUUGCGUGCAUGUGCACGAGGACAACAGCCCUACCCUGCCCAGGGCGUGUGGGGGUGCUGGAACAAGUGGGAGAAGGAGGGCUAGCCCGGGUUCCACCAAAAGACAUGCUGGGCACUCAGGGCGGUGCUUAUGGAGGAGCUUCCUUAUCUCUUACCUUUCCUUCCCUAGCACCUUCUCCCCUUUUCUUCUCCCUUUGUCUCUUGCUUCUUUUAUUUCCUUUCUGGAAAAGGAAGCCCCGUGUGGUAGAAAAAGCACUGUCCAGGAAAUCCAGAGACCUGGCUGUGUAGUCAGCAAAAAAUGAAAGAUGCCUUGUUCAAGGGCGGCAGUCCCAGCCCUGGGUUUCUGUCGCCGACCAGCCAAAUAGCCGCCUUCUUCUCUCUAGAUUUCAGCCCCCAAAUUGUAACCACAGGACAGAUGCAUUAGAUCAGGGCU